CGUUGCUACAAUGCGUGCCGUCCGAUCUAGUAGCAAUGGGGCGCAGUCUGUGUGCCGUUGCGUUCGCGUUGGCGAUAUCGAAAUGUAAAUAGCUUCCAGUAUUUAUUUCAAGGUACUCCUCCGCUGCAGGGCCGGGCGGCUGGGCAAAGUUACACACAGCCGUGCCAAAACAAACGCUGCGCUUGUGGAGACACUGUGUCAUCUGUGGUGUGGUAAAGUGUGUGCUGUUUGUAAGCCAUCCUUGAUGUCGAGAAGCACCGAUGAAGCAUGUUGGUGGCAAUGGUUUUCGGUGAUAUUUUUGGAAAUCACUUCAGGACCUUGUUUUGUUGAUGAAAGGCUUCAGGCUGUCUGGCUCGAGAGGAUGCUGCCCAAAUUGCAUAACAAGGAACGUUCACACCGAGACGCUACCUUUUCCGACCGGCCGACCCGACCCGGUGGAUAGAAUGGUGUCCAAACCGCCCUUUUGGAGCUUUGGAGAAAUACCAAACGGCGAAUUUAAGCUUCGCAAUGGAAAGCGUUUCUCAUGCUCGUGGGAACGAAAGGGGUUUGCAAGAGGUCUACCGCCACCGUUCGGUGUGUGUGUAUGUGUGCGCUGGUACGAUGGAAAUUUUGGAAGGAUAAAAUUAGCACCGACGCUCGACGAAACCUCCUCACCUGGCCAAAAACUUUCGCCGCAAAGUUCGCAUGAAACUCAAUCGCAGUUGAAAUCGGACGCCGAUUGAAUAUUCGUGGCGGUAGUGAAAUUAGUGUGCACAAAUAAUUAAUGUACCGGCAAAGUGGCUUCGUCUGUGUAUAAUGAUAGUGAGUGUUGGUUUAAAGGAUGGCAACAUUUUGACGGAAGAGUGGAUUCGUCGAAAGUUGAAGACAUCGAAAGAGAGAGUGAUUCUAAUAAGCAGCAUCGAUGGACAAUUUUCCAGCCGACUGUUUUUUCCCCAAACCCCAACCACGCAUGUGUCUCUUGAGAAUGAAAGUUCCCGGUGGCCGUAAAAGAAAAAGCAGCAGGGAAAUUCAGCCCGCCUGACAAGAAAUUCAGUUGCCGCUUGAAAGUUCAUGAUCAUGUAAAACAAAUAUGGCACACGGGGGACACAUUUCACGAGCGACUUGCGCCACCAGCACACUUUACCGAAAAGCCAAAAAUCAAACUUUGUGUGUUCGUUUUGCUGGACCGGUCGGGAGGGUUGUUACUUGGUUACAACGCUACGUACGCAAAUCCACCCGAAAAAAAGACACUUGCUAAGGAUGAUACACACACACGCGCAGGAAGAAGGGAAGAGCCCGGCGGGAGUGGUGAGGAGAUAACUUUUUUAUGAGCAUCUUGAGCCCGAAGCAAAAGGCGAUAAAGUAGUCUCAGCGGCGGGUUGAAACGGUUUAAGACCGUACGCUUGCUCGAUGUGUCCGUGUGCCUCCUCCGUGUUAGUUUUGUGGAAAAAAGGACCCGUUCGGUGUCUUGCCGGGAAAGGACAUGUACCCCUGUGUGGGUGAUUCGAGAUUAUUUGCUUAGCACGGAGGAGAAAGUUUCGCUCGGUGCUCUAUUUCCAGUCUUCCAUUGAAGCCUUUUCCAUCUCGGCGUCCGGCGUUUUGCUCCUCGCCGCACACAGGAUGUGUGUCACACGCUUUAAAACUCCAUUCAUUUUGCGGAUCGUACGGUCCUUAUCCUUCCCGGAAACCGACGGUAAGGUGUUUUGCUGCGGUUCGACGUGUACGGCCGGACGCUUUCCGGCAGCGAGGAAAGCUUGCUUGGAGGAACAUUCUGGGCACAUUCCUACGGCGAGCUUGUAAAGUUAAACAAUUUUGAGAAAGUUGCAAGAUUGUGAAAAUUCCCAUUCGAAGCAUCGGUAGACAGUGUGCUGCUGCUGCUGCUGCUGCUGCCCGUUCGUUAUAUCCUACGUGCUGGUGGGCACGUGAAUGGAACGGACACUGUGGAAUGACCGAGCAGAAAAUGGGGGGGAAAAAUCCGUAACAACCUACGGGUUUACAGGAGUUUGAGGCAAUUUUGUCAGCGAAACAUUCUUCCGCUAAGCUUCCCCAUGGCUGAGCGUGUAGGACCGGGAUGGGAAUGAACUGCUUCACGAGCCAAAGAAAGAAAGGAAAGGAAGGAAUCAACAUUCCUUUGGCUACUGUUACUACCGGGAACAAUUAGCAAAGGGUUGAGGGAACGAGUUGCAAUUUAAUAUUAAACAUUUUAUGAAUGGAAGGUUGCCUAAAAAGGAGAAAAUUAUGGUUUAUAUUUUGAUUAAAGACUCAAAUAUUAGGGUUUUAAAUCACAUGCUUAUUUGAUA